rnacentral:rRNA from 1 species
UAGGGAAUCUUCGGCAAUGGACGAAAGUCUGACCGAGCAACGCCGCGUGAGUGAAGAAGGUUUUCGGAUCGUAAAACUCUGUUGUUAGAGAAGAACAAGGACGUUAGUAACUGAACGUCCCCUGACGGUAUCUAACCAGAAAGCCACGGCUAACUACGUGCCAGUAGCCGCGGUAAUACGUAGGUGGCAAGCGUUGUCCGGAUUUAUUGGGCGUAAAGCGAGCGCAGGCGGUUUCUUAAGUCUGAUGUGAAAGCCCCCGGCUCAACCGGGGAGGGGCAUGGGAAACUGGGAGACUUGAGUGCAGAGUAGGAGAGUGGAAUUCCAUGUUUGGCGGUGAAAUGCGUAGAUAUAUGGAGGAACACCAGUGGCGAAGGCGGCUCACUGGUCUGUAACUGACGCUGAGGCUCGAAAGCGUAGGGAGCAAACAGG